rnacentral:misc_RNA from 1 species
UUGGCAACAACCCAAGCAUAUACCCCCUCGUCGGAGCCAGUAAUAACAGAGGCCCAGUCAUCCCUGAACUUGAACCCGGACUUUCUCAAAACCUUUCUACACGACUCCAGAAUCCUCUCUUGAACCUCAUAAUCAAGCAAUCUCAUCCCAGCCGUCGCCAUUAACCGAAUCUCCGUCUCUCCCCAAAGCUUUUUGGGCACUUUCCCUUUCCCAAACUCCACGAGCUCCUCCAAGGACCUGCCAGCCCCUUUCGGAUCCUCAGCAUACGACGACAAUCCCGGAUUCACCUUCAUAGCCCCAUCGCCGAAAUCGAAAACCGGUUUGCCUCCCUCAAUUCGGUAUGCGAACACGUGAAUCCGGGUGCCCGUGCUGCCUCCGUCAAUAAUAAUACAAUACCUUUUACGAGAAUCAAAAGAAUAUCCAUUUUUGAAGAGAAAAUAGCAGGAUAAAAGAGCGAUCAGGGUGAAAAAAGAAGAGAGGAAAACAGACAAUAAGCUUGAUUUGGAGGGUUUGGAUUUGGAGAAGAGAUUAGAGGAUCGUUGGUUAGGUCUGAUAUGGAGCUUGAUGGGAUCCAUUUUGCUGUUGGGUUUAGAAUCGACCCGAGUGCGGGCAUGCGAUCGUCGCAUCAAAGAAGAGGGAUUGAAUGGGGAAGGAGAAUCAUAUGAUUAUGAUUGAAGGGUUCUUAAUAUUAUUUAUGAAUAUUUUUUUGUUAUUGUUGUUCUUCUUCUUGUUCCUAAUUGAAGGAAUUCGGAAAAAAAGAAAAGAGUGAGAGGGCUGUCGUUUGCCCUCUCGCUCUCUGCGUUUCUGAGAAUGUGGGUUUCUGUAUGUGUUUUCUCA